rnacentral:pre_miRNA from 1 species
GGCCUCCCUCUGCAGGGUGAUCGAUCACGGAGUUCCCCCGAUUGAUCGCCCUGCAGAGGGUGGCC